CUUUUUUAUCGCAGGUGUUCCGCGCGCUGUCUCCUCGCGCCGCAUCUACUUGCUAGCAUGCAGCGUAAGUCUAAUUUGGUUUUGAUCGCUUGUAUCUCUUGUCUAUUGCAAUUCGCGUCGUGUGCUAUCGACGCGCCGGCCUUGCGCGCCUCUUGCUUUCUUAUCUUAUACUGUCGCGUCGUUGUUUACGCAGUUUCAGCAUGCACAAUCGGUGAAGUGCAGCCAGUUUCGUGCCGAUCGUUGGUUAAUCCAGUCGUGUUUUGAGAGACUUUUAUCGUGUUUAUUCGGACUUCAAGUUUCUAACUUUGUGUACUCGAAGAUCAAUCGACUAUUUAUUUGUACUUUGCGACUAUAGUAAUUUGUUUAAUGUUCGGAAAUGCCGGUUAGUGGAUUUGAUAACAUUCUUCAUUCUUCACUCGGCGUUGUGUUCGGUGUCGGUUGCUAAAUUAAUCGGAUAUAUAUCGCCCCCAUGUUGAUUCUCAUCAUUAAGAAAGAUCCAUCAGACUCGUUUACAGCACUCGUUGUACUCGGCUGUCCGAUAAGCUGUAUCCUGCACUUGCCGUGCCUUGUAGCCAUCUAGCCUCUGCAUGGGGAUUUUGCACCUGAGUCUGACAUCGUAGAAGGACCAUUCUUGCAUCAGAUUGGAUUUUGCACCUGAAUCUGACAUCGUAGAAGGACCAUUUUUGCCUCAGAUUGGAUUUCGCACCUGACUCUAACAUCGUAGAAGGACCAUUCUUGCAUCAGAUUGUAAUUAUUAAAUUUCCUUAUCUUAAAUAACUUUUGUGAUUGUUACACAAAUUGACUCCCAAAAUGUAUGCUUGUCUGUUUUCUUUAAUAAAGUAUAUUUUAAAGUU